CACACACUGAUACGAAGGUCCUGAAGAGGAAUGAUAUCAAGAAGCAGAAUUGGGAUGCUUUUUAAACGGUCGGUUUUAAAUCCAAGUGGAAAGGUUGGGCUAUUCCAUAGAUAAAAAUCACUUAAUUGACUUGUCCAACUGGGAUUCUAUUUAGAUUACAAGCUACGUCAGCAUUGCGUCCGGUUUCGUGCAGGAGCUGACCCUCUACACAGAACCUGGUCAGGGAGGAGAUGCGCUGCGAUUUAAAAGUAAGGAGCCCGACCUCACGACAUACUUGCCGCAUUUAAGAAACGUGAAAUCAUGGUGCGCUAAAGGACUAUGGCACGGAUUUGGUUCUGCCAACUAUACAAAUGGUCGGACAAUCAAUGAAUUUACCAUGGAUGGAUCAACCUAUUGCAGAAAUGAUACACUUUUUUACACAAUGUCAUUGAGAUUUGCGGGACCAUCAGAAACAAGAAAGCGUAGCAUAUCAAUCUACCGGGGACUGGGGUGUUGUUACGAUGGUGGAAUGGAGUACACGUUUACUGGCUCGUCGGCCACGAAUUUCGGGUUUCUUGCGAAAUAUAUUGUUCUCACUGGCCGGUCGAGUUGGACUGGGUUUGAAAACGCGGAUUUUACCGGAAACUCUACCUGUUUCUCGUCAUCCGAGCUAAUCGGGCAUACCACCAUAUAUGGGAAGGAGAUAAGGUCCUUUGUCCGAGGAUGUGACGCCAAAUACAAGAGCGAGUAUGUUAAUGUUGACAAAUUGUAGGUUAAAAGGGAGCGAAAAGUCAGUAAUGUAUGCAUAAAUAUUUCCGUAUUUAUGUAUUAUGCCUCGGAGGAAAUAAACAUUAAUUGAUAUGCAUACUUAAUUAAUUACAAAAUUUAGCAAUUUUACAACCCCAUUUAUCUACAAUAUGUAUGCAUGCAGAUGAACAAGAUUUGUUCGGAAUGCGCUGUGCUGAACGUUCGAAAUUAAAUAUGUUGAUAAUUCAAAGCAUAGGGUCAAAUUGACCAGGACGAAUUGGGCCCCGACAGACAAAUUCGUCGCAACAAAUUAAUCCAGCCGCAUGGUGUAGUUCAAAUUGAGCGUGUAGGUCUCCCACACACACAAGAUCAGCUAUGUACAGAUUGCCCUACGUACCUCGAAAUGGGGAGCCCCAACACUUAGCAUCUGAGCACGGUCUCCAACGAUUCUCAUAUCGAGCGUUGUUGGUUUUCAGAUUUUUAAAAUCUGGAAUAAAAUAUUCUGGAAACUUGCCAACUUAAUCCAGCCGGUUUCUUGGUUUUAGAUAAGGUUUAAUUCGAUUUUCCUUAUUGGACCAAAUAAUUUUAUGUAACUUAGGAGCUCUCUGUCGAUGACUGACUUUUUUAAAUGUUGUUCUGUCUGUUAAAAAAUACAGUUAGCGGUCGGAUUAACCACGAGGACCUUAGCAUAACAAUAUGUCUGCAGGGGACGAUUGCAAGCAAUUUGUAGCUGUCACUAUUACCAGCAAUUUGAACUCAUUCCACACAGAUCGCCGUUUCCUGCCGAUGGCAACAUAA